rnacentral:snRNA from 1 species
AUACUUACCUGAUUCCGGGGCCUCGUUGAUUACCGAGGACGAGCCCUCAGGGUGAGGCGCGGGCAUUGCACUGCGCUUCGCUCACCCCUGCCACUAUCCCAAACUGGGGCAGAUGAGACAUGCAAAUUUGUUUAAAUCCGGUUCAGUGCAACAGGGGGCGCCACCGCC